AUUUGCUUCAUUCGCUGGUGAUUUCUAUGUCCUCAUGAUGGCUUCAUCUAUCAUUUAGCAUUGGAGUCCAUUGUUUUAUUUUCAUCUUCUCUCAUAUUUUUCUCAUUAUAGCCUGUUGAAAAAUUGAGUUGUCACUCCCCAAUUUUCGAAAGGAAAUUUUCAAAAUUUUUGGCAUGAUAUAACUUAAAAUAGUAUAAUCCCAAAACCUGCUUUCAACAAAAUUCAAGAAAAAUAAACUCAAGGCGAAAUGUAAAUUUACACACAACUCCAAAUUGAGUUAAAUAUUACAUUUCCUUGUUUACAUAAACUUGAAAGUCAAGAAAAUGAAACGCUCACAUGAGUUUAAUAUUGUCCAUCCCAAUGUAUAUAGAAAAAAUAAAUAUACAAAAAACAACCAAAACCCAACAAAAAAAAACCCUAGCCACUAGGUCUCCACCUCAACCCUGCUGAUCCUCACCUGCAGGUCUAACCCCUACACUAAGAAAUGGUGCACCGGGUUGUAAACAACAAACCUGGUAAGCUAAAAAGCUCGUAUGAGUAAACUCAAAAAUAACAAAACAUUUAUCACAUCCAAUAUUCCACAAGAGAGAUUUGAUCCAUAAUUAAAAACCACACAUCCAACACAUCACCCAAGAAAUGUACCCAUGAGUCCCAUAUAUUUAAUAAAAUACCCCUCAUGACCUACAACAACACUAUGUGUACCCAUGGGUCUCAGAUACCAUACAGUAUCUCCCAUGACCUACACUGACAGACGGACUAUAGUUCUAUUCCUAACCGCAACCAAUCACCCGGCCAAAGGCUUGAAACCCGGUUUGACUGUCUAAUAUCAAACACAAAAAUGAUAAAUAGCAUCUUAACCGCAACCAAUCACCAAAUUAAGGGCUUGGAACCCGGUUUGGCUAUUUAUCCAACAAUCAUAAUAUCACAACAUUAUCCUCACAACACAAUAUCACAUCAUUAUUCUCAACAACACAAUAUCACAUCAUGAAUUAUAUCCUACCACAUGAAUAUAUUUACAUGAACAAUUAUAGAUAUUCCACAAGAAUAAUCUAUCAAAAAUAAAGAAAAUUAUGAUCACAUGAAUCUCAAAAUAGCAUUUAAAGAAACUUGUUUUAUCUUACCUACGAGCCGUUGACGAUCAAGCUCAUAUAUUUUUAAAAUAAUUAAAAGCAUAUUAAUAAAUCUAACAUCAUCAUCAUUAUCAUCAUAUGACCAUAAUAAUAUUUGGUUUGAAAGUGAACCUUGGUGAGAUUUACUCACCUAGAUAUCCUGCUGCAAAACUCCCAACACAACGAAAGCAAGCCAAUCACAAAAUCACAAAUCACCUAAAAUCACACAAUUAAACACCUUAGAAACCAAAGUAGUAAAGGAUAACACAAUACCCUUAAACUAACCCUUAGCUCAAAGGGAGGACAACUUCCCAUUGUCGUUGAACUCAACGACACAAUAGAGCUGCCUCAACUCUUCAAAACCUAAACUCUAACCCAACCAAGCCAACACAAAUAAACUUAAGUCCUAACAUGCCAACCUUACUUAAAAUCUAGCCAUACUACCACUCAACAAGCUCACAGCAGCAAGGACUAGCUAACCACAGGAAACUAAGGCCGCAACUCAGCCGGACGCGACGCCACGCGCCGCCACGCGCGGCGGCGAGUGGCCCCCACGCGCCACCCCAAACUUCCGAAUUAGGAGAAACUCACAACAGCAAAGUUGAAGCUUGAAGCAAGGGGAACAACUUUCAUACCUGAGGUUUCAACCAAUUUUGGCCGGAACCGGCCGGAAACUACCCCGAACAGUGACCAGAAAAUUCAACUACAAAACCUGCAAAACCGGCCUCAAAACCUCAAAAACUUGCUUCAAUCCAUGCCUAGCCACAACUAGAAGGAGGAGAGGAUCAAAACUCACCGAGGUUUGCCUCUCGUCGCCGCCGUAUACGGCGGUUCCGACCGGUGGCACAACAGCCCCUUUUUGCCGGCCAAAACGUCGUUUCCGGUGUCCUACACCGAGCAGCAGCUGCCCAGCCUUGAAGAGGGCACUUGUGGGAGUCGAACGGGACCGGCGGCGGUCCAAAUGGCGGCCGGACGGCAGAGCUAGCUCCGGUAGAAGUUUGGUGUGCGGGUGAGUUCAGGAGAGGGAAAAGAGAGCAGAGAGGAAAGAGAGUGAAGUAAGUGGGGAGAGUGAGAAAAGAGAGAGCUGUUUAGUGUUAGGGUUUCCCAAAAUAACCCGCACACAUUUUUCUACUUAAACACUUUCCACACCCGGAACCUAAUUUCCUCUGACCAAAUUUUUCUCAUACGACAUCCGUUUUAGGCGUGCCGCAUGUCUACGAACUUGUAUCGACAAACUCUACAACUUUCAUGAAGAAAGUUUUCGAAGAUAACCUACGGAAAAUAAAGUCAACUUUUGGCCUCUUAAAAGUCAAAGCACUUUAAAUAAACUCCCGAAACUUCAAGUUCGCAUAAACCCAAGAAUUUUCAUAAAUAAUCCUUCAUUAAUUAAGGGAAUAAUACAAGGAAAAAUGAUAUGAAAAUCUAGGGUAUUACACGAGUUUUGCAUGCUUGAUCAGAAUUAUUAGUCUCCUUAUCAAAAGACGUCCUUGAGUAGCUUCAGGCUACUAGUCUAACGCAUCUCAUGCUUUUGGCAAAAUGGUUCAUGGUUGUACACUUUGUUUACACCCAAAUUAACAUUUUACCGAACAGUAAAUGUCUCGAGUGAAUACGGGCCAAAUCCGUGGCCUACGUCGCAUGUUAUCGACGAGCCUGAAAUAUUGGGUUUACAAGUGAUGGCCUACAACGAAAUCGUACGAGCUGAACGGUAAAGUUCGCAUGCGAGAUGGAGUUUGCAUGCAAAGAGACUUGCGAAGUUGCCAUGCGAGUUAGACAAGGCUUGCAUGCGAGGAGGUAGAGUUCGCAUAUGAGUUCGCAUAGAAGAAGGACUUCGCAUGUAAGGACUAGGAAACAUAAGUUAUCCAAAAUGACUGGUCGACUACGUUUAAUUGCUUGGUGGAGGACUUACGAAGUAGGUAUGCAUGCGAAAAGCUAGCAAUAUUUGCAUGCGAAGAGUUGGCUAUAGUUACAUGCGAAAAAGGAGAUCAUUAUCUUUGGAUUUGUAAUACAUGUUGCCAAGGUCUGAUCAUUAUCCCUCGUCUAUGUGUGAAAUAUAUGUGCAUGAAAAGGGCCUGGCUCGCGCGUGCGUUUAAUAUAUCGAACAUCGAAAUUAAGGGCAAUAUAUGUGCAUGCAAAAUAAUUUUGUGUAAAAUAUGCAAACAUAUAUUUUAAAGAUAGUCAUCGGGAAAGUUGUUAAAAAGUUUAUGUGUUGAACACAUAAUUAUAAAUUGAGCAACUCAUUAUAGUAAUUUGAUGAUACAGUUUGUAAUAAAAGAAUAAAAACUAAUGAUACAGUUUAUAAAUUGUGCAAAAUAAUAUAUGUGCAAUAUAUGUGCAUGCAAAAAUAUAAAAGAAUAAAAACUAAUGAUACAGUUUCAAAUAUAGCCCAUUUAUAAUAAAAGAAUAAAAACUCUUUAUAAUGAAAGAAUAAAAACUAAUGAUACAGUUUCAAUGUCAGCAACAUCAACAUGUUACCACAUUCGUACAUGUAUAAGGUCUUGCUUUUUCUUCAAGUUCCAGAGCUGUUGGUACCGAUUCCAUUCUGUAUUUGCAAUUGGUUAAUGGCUGUUCAUAGUUGUUAUUUGAAGGUAUCUUAGUGCAAAUGAUUGAUUUCUUUUCUUCCCGGUAAUCGUUGCUCCGUGCACUCCUGUUUUCCUUUUGCAUCUAACUGAAUUUAAUUACUCUUUCAAUUCCACAUUUUCUAUUUAUUCUGUGUCAUCAACUUUAUGUAUAUUUUGUUUUCAGAUUGGUUUACUUGCUUUGGGUUUCUAUUUGUGUUCUUAAUCUGUUCCUGAAUCAUCUCUUGCUUCCAUUUCCAAUGAAGGUUGUAUCGAUGACCUCUGUAAGAUAGGAACGCUUCAAUGCUUGGCCUAUAGAGUAAUAAAUCUUUUUCCAAAUUGGUAAACCCUAUAGAAAUCAAUGGCUAUAUAUGUAAUACAUCUUUUUCCAAAUUGGUUUGGUUUAAUUAAUGGAGACUAGCUUUCCUGAGAACUAUAAAUGUGCUAUAUAUAUUUGGUUCAAUCUGAGAACUAUAAAUUCACAAUUUUUAUGCAUUACUNNNNNNNNNNNNNNNNNNNNAGUGUAGUCUCUCACCUCACUUGCAUUUGAACUCUCAUAACCAAGCUCACUUUCUUGUACAUCACCAUCACUAUCAUCAUCUUUAAUUUGAAUUAAAGACUCAUGCUCAAGAUUGAUGUACACUUCUUCUCUUGGAAUAUGCUCCACUUGAUCAAAGAAAGGCUCUUUGCAAAUAUAAAGUGGUGCGAUGUUGCUCUUGAAGGAUGCUAGCUUUGACAUAAUCCAUGAUUGGACCGACACUCUCACAUGAUGCUUUAAAUUGAGCAAACAAUUAUGCAAUGGAUGAGUGUCUCCGCUCUCACACUUGAUCUUGAGGAGAUUGCUCAUAUCUCAUUUGGUAUUUCCAUCCAUGAUUCCAUCGUUCCAUAGCUCAAAUUAGUAAGAAAUAAGUACCUAUGGAAUCCCAAGAGUGACAUUAGUAACAAAAAAUUAAAAAGAAAGUAGAGAAAUUUUAUUAACACAUCCCUAAUUACUAGAUACACAUCUCAUUUUAAAUACACCACCUAUUGACUUUGUUAUUUUAACAUUCUAUUAGAUACACAUACCCAACCUUUCUACAAUACCCUCACUAAAUACACAAUCCAUUUACUAAAUACACGUACUUUUUUAGACCUGUUACUCAAUUUAUUCAAAAAAAGAAAAAGAAAAAAGAGAGGAUUAUAUAUAUAGCAUCAUCCCAAGUUCUAGUUUGGUGUCAGUUUGAACUACCUAGCAUGAGUGAAUAGUAGAAUCUAAAUUUCAAACUUCAAUUUGUACUAUCGAUAGUAAAUCCUUGAUAAUUUAAUAUUUGAUAAAUUAAUAACCUUGAUUAUAUAAUAUUUUUUAUCAGUCCCGAAAUAAAGAAUUAGCAAAAUUGUCGUCAAUAAAUUAACAAUCCCGAUUGAAUAAUAUUUUUUCCGGUCCCGACAUUAUUAAUUUAUAGAGGUUUAAAUUAUAGGGCUUGGUAUCUUCACAUACGUUGUUCUCGUAUAAAAGAAGAAAACUCUUAAGCGAGAUAUUUUAUUUCAACAAGUUUUCUUUACUUUUGAUAUGAAUGUCUCUUUUGGUAAUUUUACGUACCCACAAAGUCUUAUAUAAUUUGUAGAAAAAAAGAUAUGUGUAUCUAGCAUUUAGGGAUGUGUUAAUAAAAUUUCUCAAGAAAGUAAAAAAAUAAGCACACAAAACAUAACUAACUAACUGGAACAAUUUUUUUUUCUUUUUCCUUUUAUCAAAAAUAAACAAAACAUAAACAAAUAUGCUAAAGUGACCUAUGACCGAUUCACCAAGGGAUUAAGGCUAUUAAACCUUAAUCCCCGGCAACGACGCCAUUAAUUUGAAGAAAAUGAGAAAGCCAAGUCAGUGUCGUAUUCAUUCUUUUAUUUAUACGGUUCAGAAGACAAGCCAAGUUUAAUGAGAACUUCAAAUGGAGUGGUUUUAUUUAUACGAUUGGUGUGAGGACACGGCCAUGUAAAUGAUGUAAUUGAUAGUGAAGGUAACUUCACGAGAAUCAUGCUUGAAACUUGAAAGUAGGAGUCAUCAUGCUUGUUAAUAUUCGUUGUCUAAUUUUUGAGCUCUGAUCCCAAAAUCAAAAAAAAAAAGGCACGUGUGACACGAGCGGGAGUCAAAUUGAAUCGCAAAUAGAGACGUUGCUGGAUUGAGUUCGAUGGAUNNNNNNNNNNNNNNNNNNNNAAAACUUGUGAAUCGAGUUUUGCAUGCCUCAUCAUAAUUAUUCGUCUCCUUAUCAAAAGACGUCCUUGAGUAGCUUCAGGUCACUCUAAUGCAUCUCAUGCUUUUGGCAAAAUGGUUCAUGGUUGUACCCUAAAUGUCUCGAGUGAAUACUGGCCAAAUUUUACAAAGGUGAUGUGUUUAGAUGCACAUCUUAACAUGAUAUUUGAAUCUUUGAUGAUUCAAAUCAGAAAGAAUAUUUGUAGAAGAAGCUGGAAAAAAAAAACAUAACAAAAGAAAAAAUAUAUAUACUUUGGGGUAUUGCUAUUAACACACCUCAUCUAUUUUCAUAUCCACACAUUUUUAUUUUAUUUACAAACUUGCCACUUGAAUUUGAUUGAUUAUUGGUUAAUAGCAUCACCCUGAUACUACUUUUGAAAGGUACAUUUGGUUUUUUUGUCAUCAUGAAAGUGUUAUAUGUGGUCAAAUUAACAGUUUCAUAAUUACAAUUGUUUUAAGAUAUGACGAAUAAGUCUAAAUAUCGUAUAACAUUGUAGGUUUAGGUCAUCAGUUUGUCGCUAACAUGACUUACCCUUUUUAGGUUUUCAAUAAGAGGGUCAUCAUCAUUCUCGUCAAGCAAUUAUAUAUCGCCGUGAGAGCGAGUGAUUUGCUUCAUUCGCUGGUGAUUUCUAUGUCCUCGUGAUGGCUUCAUCUGUCACUUUAGCAUUGGAGUCCAUUGUUUUAUUUUCAUCUUCUCUCAUAUUUUUCUCAUUAUAGCCUGUUGAAAAAUCGAGUUUUACAUGCUUGAUCCGAAUUAUUAGUCUCCUUAUCAAAAGACGUCCUUAAGUAGCUUCAGGCUACUAGGGCAUCUCAUGCUUUUGGCAAAAUGGUUCAUGGUUGUACACUUUGUUUACACCCAAAUUAACAUUUUACCGAACAGUAAAUGUCUCGAGUGAAUACGGGCCAAAUCCGUGGUCUACGUCGCAUGUUAUCGACGAGCCCGAAAUAUUGGGUUUACAAGUGAUGGCCUACAGCGAAAUGGUACGAGUUGAACGGUAAAGUUCGCAUGCGAGAUGGAGUUUGCAUGCAAAGAGACUUGCGAAGUUGCCAUGCGAGUUCGACAAGGCUUGCAUGCGAGGAGGUAGAGUUCGCAUAUGAGUUCGCAUAGAAGAAGGACUUCACAUGUAAGGACUAGGAAACAUAAGUUAUCCAAAUUGACUGGUCGACUACGUUUAAUUGCUUGGUGGAGGACUUAUGAAGUAGGUAUGCAUGCGAAAAGCUAGCAAUAUUUGCAUGCGAAGAGUUGGCUAUAGUUACAUGCGAAAAAGGAGAUCAUUAUCUUUGGAUUUGUCAUUAACAUGUUGCCAAGGUCUGAUCAUUAUCCCUUGUAUAGGUGUGCAAUAUAUGUGCAUGAAAAGGGCCGGGCUCGCGCAUGCGUUUAAUAUAUCAAACAUCGAAAUUAAGGGCAAUAUAUGUGCAUGCAAAAUAAUUUUGUGUAAAAUGUGCAAACAUAUAUUUUAAAGAUAGUCAUUGGGAAAGUUGUUAAAAAGUUUGUGUUGAACACAUAAUUAUAAAUUGAGCAACUCAUUAUAGUAAUUUGAUGAUACAGUUUGUAAUAAAAAAAUAAAAACUAAUGAUACAGUUUAUAAAUUGUGCAAAAUAAUAUAUGUGCAUGCAAAAAUAUAAAAGAAUAAAAACUAAUGAUACCGUUUCAAAUAUAGCCCAUUUAUAAUAAAAGAAUAAAAACUCUUUAUAAUGAAAGAAUAAAAACUAAUGAUACAGUUUCAAUGUCAGC
rnacentral:lncRNA from 1 species